rnacentral:tRNA from 1 species
GGGGAUUUAGCUCAGUGGUAGAGCACUUGCCUAGCAAGCACAAGACCCUGGGUUCGGUCCCCAGCUCA